rfam:Leptosomus discolor contig69219, whole genome shotgun sequence.
CAAAAGGCUUUUCUGGGCAGUUAAAGCCACAAAGUCACCUUUAAAAAUAAAU